rnacentral:lncRNA from 1 species
CCUGCCACACAGGGAAGCAUCCAGUACAGCACUGGACAGAUAUUCCUGAAGGUCUGUGUGACCUGGGGACCCACAAAGAACACUGACAUUCAAGUCAGGGGUGUUGAUUGCCCCUCCUGACUCUGGGUAUUCCAAGAUGCCACUUACCUGCUCUAUGAGACAAUUUUCUCUAUGUUAGUUGAGGAUGAUAAGUUCUGCCCCUCCUUCACAAGAUGUUAUAGGUCUUUUUUAAAGCUCACUAAUUUGGAAAUAAAUGGAAAAGAAAGAAGCCAUCAUCAAAUUUUGUAAGACCAUAUUGUAAAAUGUAUACUGAAGCAGUGACAGUCAUCACUUUCAAAUACUGCAUAGAUUGUUAACUAAGAUACUGAUAAAAAGUGAGCCAAUAACUAAAGUAAGGGAAAUAAAUUUGGAGGGGCAGCAGGUAGUCUUGAAUUCCUAAGAAUUAUGGUACAAAAAAAAGAAUGUCUUUAAUCACGCAAGAAUUGGUUGCUGAAAGAGGUGCUAAAGGUACUCGGCUUAGUAGAGCUCACAUAUGGAGAAGCGUCAACCCCUGAGAUAAUCUCUGACUCAUGGCAGAAGGGGCUCCAUGGAUACGGAAAGAGCUGCAUGCAGGAACUCUUCAGUCCAGGCCAUGUGGAAGGCCUAGGACAAGAUUGGUACAAACCACUGCUCCUCUCCAGUUCCCGAGAAGGGUCAUUAGGCGUGCUCUAAGUAAGAAUGAGAACACCACCCCAACUGCAUGUCCCAUUCCAUUCCCCCAGCCUCCUCUUCUCUCCUUUCCCUGACCAUGAUUUACCCUCUAUGCAUACUGUGUGCAAAUGAUUGCCCAACCCAGCUUAGCAAAGUUUAGAUGAGAAAGGUUUGCCUGGUUGGAAGAAAAACUCUUCUGAGUGUAAAUACAAUCUGUAAAACUACUAAGUGUGUACCUAGAAGUGAUAGCGAAAUAGGCAAGGAGACUUUCCCCUUUUGCAAUUAUUGUAUUAUAACUAAAUAUGUACUUGGGGAAGGGAGGAGAAAAAGGAAAAAAAAUUCUCGGUUCAGCAUUUGGGUAAGAGGAAAGAAAAACUUUUAUGAAAGACAGUUCACUCUCCACUGCCCUAGACAUUGCAGCUCCCAGAGCCAGGAAAAAGUGGUAUUCAGCUCUGGGAACCGAAUACCACAUAAAAAAGUAGCCACCAAGUUGCAGUGGGACAUCCCAUAGUCUCCAACGCCACUGCUUUCUGGAAGUUCUACAGAGCAGACAAAGAAGAUUCUAAAAGAAUUCAUAAGGUUGUCUGAAGGGAAAAGUAGAUGACCCCAUGGCCUUUUUCUGCAAUUUUUUCAUCUAUAAAACAAAGUGGUAAAGACUCAGUUUGUUAUGAAGCACAUUCAUAACAAACUUCCUGGGGAAAUCUCUGGCAAAAGAGAGACACGUUAUUGGGAUGGUGGUCCUGUAUUCUCCAACCUUCCACAUCCUUGUGCCAGAGCUAAUAGUCGUGUGUUAGACUGUUACAAAGCAAAUAAAAUUAACUUGACUUUUCACCAUCUUUGUUUUUUCUUUUUACGUGUCAGCUGAAGUAGACUGUGAAGAGACUGCCUCAGUUUCUAGUUAUUUUUCCUUUGGAGUUGAGGGCCUAGAAAACAAGGCGAGUGGGGUAAAGGUGGUGAGGUUGGUAUGUUAGUAAAUGUUCAACCACCAGCUCUCUCCAGGGUAAAGAAGGCAGACUUUGUAGUGUUUGCCAAUUUCCUUGGUUUAAAUUAUCCCACUGCCACCAAUUUCAAG